GAUCCAAGUCUAGGAGGGACUUGAGCAAAAUCAGACGUUACCAGUGUGAAGAGUUGGGGCAUCUAGCCAGAGAUUGCCCCCAACUCAAAAAUCGGACGGUGGCUGUUGUAGCGACGGCCAGCAGCGAUUCAGAGAUAAAUAUUCUAGAGAUAUCUGAUGAUGUAUCUACUUCUUCCCAGCAGUGGAUAUUAGAUUCUGCAUGCACUCAUCAUGUAUGUUGCAGAGAGUAGCAGUUUGACUCAUUGGAGAACAGUGAGGGCACUGUAUAUCUAUCGGAUGGAUCGAGCUAUGCGAUCAGAGGCAUCGGGAUGGUC
rnacentral:lncRNA from 1 species